rnacentral:lncRNA from 1 species
GAUCGAGGAGGGACAGGGACUUACUGCACAAGAGGACUUCGGAAAUGGAGUCACAGGAGACAGAGGCAAAACCUUUCCAGAUGUUCCUUGAACUCUGCUGUCACUCAAGAAAAUAAGGAGCUGGGUGCGGUGCCUCACGCCUGUCAUCCCAGCACUUUGGGAGGCUGAGGCGGGCGGAUCACCUGAGAUAAGGAGUUUGAGACCAGCAUGACCCACAUGGUGAACUCCUGUCUCUACUAAAAAUACAAAAUUAGCCAGGCAUGGUGACGCACACCUGUAAUCCCAGCUACUCGGGAGGCUGAGGCAGGAGAAUCGCUUGAACCCAGGAGGCGGAGGUUGCUGUGAGCUGAGAUCGUGCCACUGCACUUCAGCCUGGGCAACAAGAGCGAAACUCCGUCUCAAAAAAAAGAAAAGGGGAUUAAAACUUGUAACACCUACAGAUGUACAGAAAGAUGAAUGUGGAAUACAGUGUCCCAACAAACAAUCUCAGAUUCCAGUUCCAAGUCACAUCAUCACCAGCUGGAAGACCUAGGGCAAAAGUCACCCAUUCUUUGCAACAGAGUAUACAUAUGGCUUAACGGAAUGUACUGGACGAUAUCCCAUGUAGAAUAAUUUUUGUUUUGUUGUUUAAUACACAUAUUUAAGGUUUUGUUAAAAGAAUAGAUUUUAAGUGCUCUAGUCACAAAAAAAUAAAAUGCUUCAAUGAUGUCA